ACGGGGGGAGCAAGCGUUGUUCGGAUUUACUGGGCGUAAAGGGUGCGUAGGCGGCGGAGUAAGUUGGGUGUGAAAUCCCGGGGCUCAACCUCGGAAUUGCAUUCAAUACUGCUUCGCUCGAGUACUGGAGAGGAGGCUGGAAUUUACGGUGUAGCAGUGAAAUGCGUAGAUAUCGUAAGGAAGGCCGGUGGCGAAAGCGAGCCUCUGGACAGUUACUGACGCUGAU
rnacentral:rRNA from 1 species